UCCCUGCUAGCUCAGUUGGUAGAGCACUGCACUUACAUUGCAGAGGUCAUGGGUUCAAAUCCUGUAUGGGCCUGAA